rnacentral:rRNA from 1 species
UGGGGAAUCUUCCGCAAUGGGCGAAAGCCUGACGGAGCGACGCCGCGUGAGCGAAGAAGGCCUUCGGGUCGUAAAGCUCGAUAGUGUGGGAAGAAGGGAUGACGGUACCACACGAAAGCCCCGGCUAACUACGUG